UCCGACUAGUCCUUGCAACUUCUUGGCCUGACAAUCGGGAAAAGUUGGCCCAUGCCAGCUUUCCGACAGGGAUCAAACAGGACCCUGAACCAAAGCAGACGUGAAAAAGCUAAAGAAGGACGGAGUUCUGACUCAAGCAAGGGAGAGAACUUGGGAAGUAUGAGGAGAUGGUACUGAGAAAAUGAGGAGGGCUUUCCCACACUCUUUCCUCCACUUCUCCAUCGGGAAGCACUCACUGCUUGUGCAAACACCAUUCCUAAAGUAUUUUCAGGAUGCCUGGACAGUUACGUGUAUGGCCACUCUGAGGUGCUUCCGAACUCAGAGAAGAGUGUGAAUAUAACUCUCAAAUCCUCAAAGGAGAAUUGUGCCAAAACCCCAUUCAUCUUAGGAAGGCGCAGUAAAGGAAAGAAUUGCAGCCUACCCUAGAAAAGCAUAUUUUGCCUUUUCUUUCUGCCUUACUGCCCCUCCAGACCAGUAGUAUGGCAUUUUAAUGGGAGGAAGA